UACGUAGGGGGCGAGCGUUGUCCGGAAUUAUUGGGCGUAAAGAGCGUGUAGGCGGUUCGGUAAGUCUGCCGUGAAAACCUGGGGCUCAACCCCGGGCGUGCGGUGGAUACUGCCGGGCUAGAGGGUGGUAGAGGCGAGUGGAAUUCCCGGUGUAGCGGUGAAAUGCGCAGAUAUCGGGAGGAACACCAGUAGCGAAGGCGGCCUUCUGGACUGACACUGACGCUGAGGCGCGAAAGCCAGGGGAGCAAACGGG
rnacentral:rRNA from 1 species